UACGUAGGGGGCAAGCGUUGUUCGGAUUUACUGGGCGUAAAGGGCGCGUAGGCGGCAAUUCAAGUCAGCUGUGAAAUCUCCGAGCUUAACUCGGAACGGUCAGCUGAUACUGCUUUGCUAGAGUACAGAAGGGGCAAUCGGAAUUCUUGGUGUAGCGGUGAAAUGCGUAGAUAUCAAGAGGAACACCUGAGGUGAAGACGGGUUGCUGGGCUGAUACUGACGCUGAGGCGCGAAAGCUAGGGUAGCAAACGGG
rnacentral:rRNA from 1 species